GCCCGGCUAGUCUUGGUGUUCGGUAGAGCAUGAGACUCUUAAUCUCAGGUCGUGGGUUCGAGCCCCACGUUGGGCG